rnacentral:rRNA from 1 species
GACGAACGCUGGCGGCGUGCUUAACACAUGCAAGUCGAGCGGUAAGGCCCUUUCGGGGGUACACGAGCGGCGAACGGGUGAGUAACACGUGGGUGACCUGCCCUCAGCUCUGGGAUAAGCCUGGGAAACUGGGUCUAAUACUGGAUAUGACUCCACGGUGCAUGUCGUGGGGUGGAAAGCCUUGUGCGGCUGAGGAUGGGCCCGCGGCCUAUCAGCUUUGUUGGUGGGGUGAGGGCCUACCAAGGCGACGACGGGUAGCCGGCCUGAGAGGGCGACC